ensembl:lncRNA
AUGGAGUUUAACCUUUCUGAUGAGAAUCUUUUGCCACUUGAUGCCGUAGACUUUGGGGUGCAGUUCCGUCUUGCUUUGUUUGAAGCCAAUGGAAUAAGUGACCUAGCUGAACAGGACAUGAAACGCAGGUGCAGGGACUACAUGCUAGAGUUAUCUAAGGAAAUUAGGAAGAGACUUCCAGAUAACAUUAAACAGUUAGAGGCUCUCAAAUUCCUGUCACCGAGUCAUACUCUGUCGUCAAGUAAGCCAAGGAUUGAUGAUCUUCCCUUUUUCCACCUCUUCAAGGGAGAUGUAGGAAAAGCAGAGCAACAGUGGAGAGUAAUUCACACUCUGGAAUGGAGCAAUGCAGAAGAUGGCAAAACAGAGGACUUCUGGGUAGAAGUUUCUGCAUACACAGAUACUGCAGAACAGCCGCAGAUCCGGAGAGAAAAGCAUCAGAGAGAAGUGCUGAGAAGAGAAAAAGUAAGUACAAGUUAGUACUUCUGACUAGGGUCAGAAAAUAUCAGAGAGGAUAUGUUCUUAUUUGACCUUUAUUGUAUGAGAUUGUGUAUUAAAAAAAACACAGUGUGUGAUAUUAAGAAUUUGGGUAAGACAAAAGGCGAAUACUUUAAACUUAAACUUAUAUAAAUUUAUUUUAAGGCCCUCUGUGGGAAUCCAGCCGUUGUCUAAUCUGAUUGGACACUGAAAAAUUGGGCUAGUUUUUAUUCCAUUUGGGCGGGUUUUGAGUUGUCAUUGGGCUGGAAAUAUUUCUGGGACCUGGCAACCCUGCUCGUCUAUUUACUCGUGCGGUUUAUAAUACUGUUUUAGCGUCUUGGUUGGCAGCCCGUAUCAAACAGUACCUCUGUACAUUCAGGUCUACAACAGAGAAGUUCUACAACAAAAGGCCUAAUUUGGCCUACCACAAUAUUUCCAUUUCACAACAGUUUGGCAUAUAACCGAACCAUAACAGAAGUGCAACUUUAUCAUUAUUAUAAAUGAACCAGUUUUAACUAUUAAUAGUAGUAAAAUAAAAUUAACAUCUGUAAACUAUGGAAAGUGAUU